rnacentral:sRNA from 1 species
ACUUCCACCGCAGACCUUCGGAGGGCUCCGCCCAGAGUCUGAUGGAGUCUCACUCUGUCACCCAGGCUGGAGGGCAGUGGCACGAUCUCGGCUCACUGCAACCUCUGCCUCCCAGGUUCAAGCAAUUCUGCCUCAGCCUCCUGAGUAGCUGGGAUUACCGGCAUGUGCCACCACACCCAGCUGAUUUUUGUAUUUUUAGUAGAGAUGGUGUUUCACCAUGUUGGCCAGGCUGGUCUGGAACUCCUGACCUUGAGUGAUCCGCCCGCCUCAGCUUCCCAAAGUGCUGGGAUUAGGGGCAUAAGCCGCCGCGCCGGCCUGGACUUCUGACCUCUAAACAAUCUCCUGGCCCUACCCAACACCCCACAGACACACCAUCCAUGCACACAACCAUGUGAGUCUGAAAUUACAGCAUUAGAAGUUCACUCCUUUGCUUUCUCUCAGAGUCAUGCUUUAAAACAUAAAAAUUGGGAGAAAUGACACAGUAUGCACACUCAUUCUGGGGUGUUAGUAACUUGUCAGCUGAGGCUGGUGAGGUGCCCUGGAAAGUGUGGGAAGAGGCACUUGGCAGUGACCAGUGACAGGCUCCCGGGCU